AUUGAACGCUGGCGGCAGGCCUAACACAUGCAAGUCGAGCGAGCGGCGGACGGGUGAGUAAUGUAUGGGGAUCUGCCUGAUGGCGGGGGAUAACUACUGGAAACGGUAGCUAAUACCGCAUACCAUCAGAUGAACCCAUAUGGGAUUAGCUUGUAGGUGCGGUAACGGCUCACCUGGGCGACGAUCCCUAGCUGGUCUGAGAGGAUGAGCAUCCACACGGGGACUGAGACACGGCCCAGACUCCUACGGGAGGCAGCAGGGGGGAAGAUUGCACAAUGGGCGCAAGCCUGAUGCAGCCAUGCGGCGUGUAUGAAGAAGGCCUUCGGGUUGUAAAGUACUUUCAGUCGGGAGGCGUUACCGACAGAAGAAGCACCGGCGAACGCCGUGCCAGCCGCCGCGGUAAUAC
rnacentral:rRNA from 1 species